AUUGAACGCUGGCGGCAGGCCCAACACAUGCAAGUCGAACGAGUGGCGGACGGGUGAGUAAUGUCUGGGAAACUGCCUGAUGGAGGGGGAUAACUACUGGAAACGGUAGCUAAUACCGCAUACCAUCAGAUGUGCCCAGAUGGGAUUAGCUAGUUGGUGGGGUAACGGCUCACCAAGGCGACGAUCCCUAGCUGGUCUGAGAGGAUGACAAGCCAAACUGGAACUGAGACAAGGGCCAAGCUCCGACGGGAGGCAGCAGUGGGGAAUAUUGCACAAGGGGCGCAAGCCGGAGGCAGCCAUGCCGAGUGGAUGAAGAAGGCCUUCGGGUUGUAAAUUACUUUCAGCGGGGAGGCGUUACCCGCAGAAGAAGCACCGGCUAACUCCGUGCCAGCAGCCGCGGUAAUAC
rnacentral:rRNA from 1 species